UGGGGCGUCGCCAAGUGGUAAGGCAAUGGAUUCUGAUUCCAUCAUGCGCAGGUUCGAAUCCUGCCGCCCUAGCCA
rnacentral:tRNA from 1 species